rnacentral:rRNA from 1 species
ACGCUCGACACCUACGGGAGACAGCAGUCGGGAAUAUUGCGCAAUGGAGGAAACUCUGACGCAGUGACGCCGCGUGCAGGAAGAAGGUUUUCGGAUUGUAAACUGCUUUAGACAGGGAAGAAAGAAAUGACAGUACCUGUAGAAUAAGCUCCGGCUAACUACGUGUCAGCAGCCGCGGUAAUCUGAGCGGGCUGGCAAGGC